rnacentral:lncRNA from 1 species
UGUUCAUUUCUUCUUUAUCUUUGCAGAUCAGUCUUCAAACUUGGAUUUGUCACGGAUCCCUCUACUGGUGAACUACCCCAGGACCUUGAAGGACGAGCUCCAAAUCCACUUCCUAAGACCCCCAGCCAGAGGGAGCUAACCAAGUAUACAUCCCGGGGAGUUCUGUGUAAUUCCUCUGGAGUCCUGGCUUAUCCACUCAUCUCAAUCCACAGUCAGGUCUGUGCUGGGGGUAAAGCCAGCUCUUCCUCUCUCUGUGCUGGAGGUGUGCAGUCACGGGUGGCGCUGCUCAGCACUCUCACAGCCAAAGACACUUACCAAGUGGGAGCAAAGAGGUUCCUUUUAGGUAGAUUUUAGCGUGAAGGCCUAAGUCUACCUGAGUAGCCACACGAGGCUACCUUCUUGGUUGAAGGUACACAGAACAGAAGCAUUUACAGAUCUUCUCCCAGAUCCUGCACAGUGAAAAUAGAGUGAGAGUCACCCACGUUGACUUGGAGCAGGCCUGGCAAUGGCAGUGAGCUUCUGGGAGAGCCAGGGUGGCUCUGCUUCUCAAACUGGGGGAAGGUGGGUAAACCGCCUCUCUCUGUGUCUCACUUCCCUCCUUCAUCAAAUGGGAAUGGCACACGAACACACACACACACACACACACACAGUCGAGUUAAUGUGAAGCUUUAAUGUGAUGGCUGUGUGUGUGUGGGGGGGUGUUUUCAUGAAUGGCAAAACUGAGGCUCAGGGAGACUCCAGUUAGUGUUCACCUUGGAUCCUGUCUGCCUGAGGCAUUGUCUCAGCAUUUCCACUUCUGAUCCCUCACUCAGUUCCUCAACAGAGCUCUAAGGUCCAUUUUUUUUCUCAUUUUCUAGAAGUAGAAAU